ACGCGGGCUAACAUGCAGUCGACGAUGAACCACUUCGGUGGGGAUUAGUGGCGAACGGGUGAGUAACACGUGGGCAAUCUGCCCUGCACUCUGGGACAAGCCCUGGAAACGGGGUCUAAUACCGGAUACUGAUCCGCCUGGGCAUCCAGGCGGUUCGAAAGCUCCGGCGGUGCAGGAUGAGCCCGCGGCCUAUCAGCUUGUUGGUGAGGUAACGGCUCACCAAGGCGACGACGGGUAGCCGGCCUGAGAGGGCGACCGGCCACACUGGGACUGAGACACGGCCCAGACUCCUACGGGAGGCAGCAGUGGGGAAUAUUGCACAAUGGGCGAAAGCCUGAUGCAGCGACGCCGCGUGAGGGAUGACGGCCUUCGGGUUGUAAACCUCUUUCAGCAGGGAAGAAGCGCAAGUGACGGUACCUGCAGAAGAAGCGCCGGCUAACUACGUGCCAGCAGCCGCGGUAAUACGUAGGGCGCGAGCGUUGUCCGGAAUUAUUGGGCGUAAAGAGCUCGUAGGCGGCUUGUCGCGUCGGUUGUGAAAGCCCGGGGCUUAACCCCGGGUCUGCAGUCGAUACGGGCAGGCUAGAGUUCGGUAGGGGAGAUCGGAAUUCCUGGUGUAGCGGUGAAAUGCGCAGAUAUCAGGAGGAACACCGGUGGCGAAGGCGGAUCUCUGGGCCGAUACUGACCUGAAGACGAAAACCUGGGGGG
rnacentral:rRNA from 1 species